UGGGGAAUUUUGCACAAUGGGCGAAAGCCUGAUGCAGCGACGCCGCGUGAGGGAUGACGGCUUUCGGGUUGUAAACCUCUUUUAUCCACCACGAAGGCCAGGUAUUCGCUUGGUUGACGGUAGUGGUUGAAUAAGCGCCGGCUAACUACGUGCCAGCAGCCGCGGUAAGACGUAGGGCGCGAGCGUUGUCCGGAUUGAUUGGGCGUAAAGGGCUCGUAGGCGGCUCGUCGCGUCUGCCGUGAAAGACCACAGCUUAACUGUGGUUUUGCGGUGGAUACGGGCGGGCUUGAGGCCAGUAGGGGAGAUCGGAAUUCUACGUGUAGCGGUGAAAUGCGCAGAUAUGUGGAGGAACACCGGUGGCGAAGGCGGAUCUCUGGGCUGGUUCUGACGCUGAGGAGCGAAAGCAUGGGGAGCGAACAGG
rnacentral:rRNA from 2 species